GUUGGACGCUUAACCUACUGAGCCACCCAGGCCUGCCGCUGCUGCUGCCUGGGCCUCAGGGCCAGCUCCUCCUGAGGCCUUCUCUGGACUCCGUGUCGAGGGGCCCCAACGUGGAAGCUUCUAGAAGGCAAGCCCUGCUCUUGUCACACAACCUGCAUCCCAAGGCAGGGUGCUCCUCACCGGGACACACCCUUGCCCUUCUGCCUUGCAGGCACCUUGGGGCCCCUUCCUGACCUGCCCUCCCCGGCCCAAGCUCUCCCCUCUGCUCAAACUCUUCGUAAUCUGUCCUUGCCCACUGGACAGACCCCAGGCUACAGGAGUGGGCCUUGGGCUGACCCCCAGCUUUGCCCGGGGGGCCAUGUGGCUGGGUGCCUGUGCCUCCCUACGUGGCCAGAGUGUAUCCCUCUGUGUCCCCCUCCUCCCUGCCAUGGCAACGGUGAUGCUGUCCCCAGAGGAGGGGACACUGGGCCACCAAACCCUGAACCCCCUCUCCCCUAUCACUGUCCUGCCAGGCAGCAGCAGCCACCGCAGGGGCUCUGAAGUCCCUCUGGGGCUACCGCCAUGCUGAAGCUGCCCUCCCAGGCCCUCUAAUCCUGGGCACGCAUCACAGCCAUGGAGCCCCAUGCCUGCUGGUGGCCUCACAGGUCUGAGGCUGCCCGAGUUUCAGGAGGGACCUGUAGACGCACUCAUUAUGCAUCAGGGGCUGAGAGGCCACAUGGCGUCCAGCUGAUGAGCUCUGGCCCCUCGAUCGUCGGGGGUAUGGCACCUUCUCCCUCCACCCCUCUCCCGGGAGAACAGGAACGGAAUCCUGUCUGCUGCAGUGGCCGCUGUUAAUGCAGGCUUUCUGGAAGACUGGACCCUCUCUCCUUGACCCCCACUGGCUGACUGUACGUGAAAUCCAGGCUGCCCGGUUCGCCAGCGGCUGGCGGUGCAGACACUCGCAUGUGCAGAUGAAAACACCCCGGUGAAGGCUUGGCGCGUGCCACGUUUAUUAAAAACUGCCCAAACCCUCUUACAAAGGAGGCGGUGGCUGGUGCCAGGCACUGUGGUCCACCACGGGGCACAGGCCAGACUUGACACCA